UUUAGGGAAUUAGAAGAGGAAUAUCAAGGGAUUUGGCUGGCAUUGCAAUGCCAGGGAAGAACAUCACAAAGCUGUUUCAGAAAUGAGAUCCAAUAGAAUUGCAUUCGGAUAAGAGGAAAUGUAGAAAGGGUCGAUAUCUUCCAGCGGGACUCCGACCAGUCCUGUAGGAAUGUCACCGAAGAUACGAGGGAGCACCUUCCCCGCCUCCAGGUCGGCCCGGGGCUUGGGCUCCUCCGUGUUUCCGGGGUCCUCCUGGUAAUCUUUGGCAUUCUUCGCCUGUUCUUCGCUGAUCCUCCGCUCGAUGGCCGCCAGAGACUCGCGAGUGAACGGUCGCAAGCCGUCAGGACCCGCUGUGUACCCAUCUUCUGAUAGCUACUUCCAGAAUAAUCAUGCACCAUGUGAAUUCAUCUCAACUGCGUGAUGCUAUCAUGUCACUACAGACCAAAAUCUCUAAGGACGGUUUCCAACACCUUGUUGAAUCUAUGCCAUAAAGAAUUAAGGCAGUUCUGAAGGCAAGAGGGGGUUUAACUUCUGUACAACCAGCACCUAAUAAAGCAGUUGUUGCUAGUACUAAAAAAGUGACUUGUGAGAUCUUGAGAUUUUGUACAUUUAUAGAUAACAACCCUUGGCUUUCCAUUGAACUACUAGCGAUUUCAUUGACUACAGUCGCAUAUUGUAUAAGAAGCGACUAAUGUGAAUAAAAGCUUAUCCAGUACUUGACCUUCUCAACCUCUUGCUACAUCCCUCAAACUAAAUCAGACAUCAGAGUCACAUGGCGUCAGACGUUAUGUUAGCCAAAAUGAUGACUCAUGAAUAAUAUCCACCUCCAGUUAAGGCUCAGGACCUUGAGUGACGCUUGUCUCCAGAUUAGUUUUAAGAAGGAAGGGUCCUAUUCCUUCCGCAGACAUGUUUUUAACUCUUCUCUGCAGAACGGAGCCAGAAACUAUUAUGUAACCGACAGCGUCAAAGUGGCUUACAGCUGUAGAGAAUAACUCAGCUGUCUCGCUUCAGACAAACAUUAAGAAGCAGAGUUUCUUAUAAAUGU